ensembl:snoRNA
AUCCAUUUGUUGUUCAUGCGCGUGUGAUUCCGCGUGUGUGAAAUGCGCCCACCCUCAAAUCUUGUUUUGGCACAUUACCCAUCUGACA